rnacentral:lncRNA from 1 species
GAAACCCUGAAAAAAAAUGGAAGUGAAACCUAGGUGAUGAAAAUGAGAAGCCCAAAGAUCUAAGUUCACAUCAAAUCUAAGAAAUGGUGUAUGCAUGCUCCACAUGGGCACAAUGGCUGACACACAUUGAUGCACAUGAACACAAAGACUUUGCUUUGGGGAGAACAGGAUUUCCACAAUAAGCACAACUGCACUAUCAGAUUUUUAUGUAUUUAUUUUGAAAGGAUUUAUUGCAGACACUGUCCCAAAAGAUUAUAAAAUAAACUCUCAUUUGAUUUUUUAAAAUAAUUUUUUGCUUUCAUAUUACUCCACUUGGGCUGCUGUAACAAAAUACACAGAUUGAAUGGCUUAUACAAUGGACAUUGACUUCCCACAGUUCAGGAGCCUGGGACACCAAGAUCAAGGUACCAGAAGGGUUGGUUUCUGGCAAGAGCUCUCUCCUUGGCUUGCAGAUAGCCAUCUUCCCUGUGCACCUGCUUUCCUGGUGUCUUUUCUUGUGCAUGUGAAGACAGCAUUCAUAUUAGCUUAGGGUCCCCCAUCAUUUGACGAUAAUUACUUUCUGAGAAACCUUGUCUCCCAACAUAGUCACAUUGAGUAUUAGGACUUCAACAUAAAAUUCUUUUGUUCUGUUGGUAGUACUGGAAAUUGAACCCAGGGGUGCAUUACCACUGAGCUGUCUCCCCAGCCCUAACCCAACCUUUUUAAAAUUUUGAAAUGAGUUCUCAUUAAAUACUAAGGAUGCCCUCAAAUUUGUGUUCCUCUUUCCAUAGCCUUCCAAGUCACUGGGAUUAUAGGUGUCAGCUCAACAAAGGAAUUGAGAGGGGACACAAUGCAGUCCAUUGUAACAACCUUCAAGUGUGAAAGGACCACUAUGAAAAAAUUAUAACUGGACACAUACCCCAGAAGUUAGGAAAAACAUGAAGAGUAAUCAGAAGACAGAACUUAAGUAGUAAACAAGUGAUUCUGAGUUUAAGACCAAACUCAUACCAAAGGUGCUCUCUCAUUGUGCAGAGGAGGGGUG